AUUGAACGCUGGCGGCAGGCCUAACACAUGCAAGUCGAACGAGUCGCGCACGGGUGAGUAAUGUCUGUGAAACUGCCUGAUGGAGGGGGAUAACUUCUGGAACCGGUAGUUAAUACCGCUUACUAUCGGAUGUUCCCCGAUGGGAUUAGCUAGUUGGUGGGGUGACGGCUCACAAAGGCGACGAUCCCUAGCUGGUCUGAGAGGAUGACCAGCCACACGGGAACUGAGACACGGGCCAGACUCCUACGGGAGGCAGCAGUGGGGAAUAUUGGACAAUGGGCGCAAGCCGGAUGCAGCCAGGCCGGGUGUGUGAAGAAGGCCUUGGGGUUGUAAAGUACGUUAAGCGGGGAGGCGUUACCCGCAGAAGAAGCACCGGCUAACUCCGUGCCAGCAGCCGCGGUAAUUC
rnacentral:rRNA from 1 species